rnacentral:rRNA from 1 species
AUUGAACGCUGGCGGCAGGCUUAACACAUGCAAGUCGAGCGGGGUGAUGGUGCUUGCACUAUCACUUAGCGGCGGACGGGUGAGUGAUGCUUAGGAAUCUGCCUAUUAGUGGGGGACAACAUCUCGAAAGGGGUGCUAAUACCGCAUACGUCCUACGGGAGAAAGCAGGGGAUCACUUGUGACCUUGCGCUAAUGGAUGAGCCUAAGUCGGAUUAGCUAGUUGGUGGGGUAAAGGCCUACCAAGGCGACGAUCUGUAGCGGGUCUGAGAGGAUGAUCCGCCACACUGGGACUGAGACACGGCCCAGACUCCUACGGGAGGCAGCAGUGGGGAAUAUUGGACAAUGGGGGGAACCCUGAUCCAGCCAUGCCGCGUGUGUGAAGAAGGCCUUAUGGUUGUAAAGCACUUUAAGCGAGGAGGAGGCUCUUUUGGUUAAUACCCAAGAUGAAUGGACGUUACUCGCAGAAUAAGCACCGGCUAACUCUGUGCCAGCCGCCGCGGUAA